rnacentral:rRNA from 3 species
GAGUUUGAUCCUGGCUCAGGAUGAACGCUAGCUACAGGCUUAACACAUGCAAGUCGAGGGGCAUCAGGAAGAAAGCUUGCUUUCUUUGCUGGCGACCGGCGCACGGGUGAGUAACACGUAUCCAACCUGCCCUUUACUCGGGGAUAGCCUUUCGAAAGAAAGAUUAAUACCCGAUAGCAUAAUGAUUCCGCAUGGUUUCAUUAUUAAAGGAUUCCGGUAAAGGAUGGGGAUGCGUUCCAUUAGGUUGUUGGUGAGGUAACGGCUCACCAAGCCUUCGAUGGAUAGGGGUUCUGAGAGGAAGGUCCCCCACAUUGGAACUGAGACACGGUCCAAACUCCUACGGGAGGCAGCAGUGAGGAAUAUUGGUCAAUGGGCGCUAGCCUGAACCAGCCAAGUAGCGUGAAGGAUGAAGGCUCUAUGGGUCGUAAACUUCUUUUAUAUAAGAAUAAAGUGCAGUAUGUAUACUGUUUUGUAUGUAUUAUAUGAAUAAGGAUCGGCUAACUCCGUGCCAGCAGCCGCGGUAAUACGGAGGAUCCGAGCGUUAUCCGGAUUUAUUGGGUUUAAAGGGAGCGUAGGUGGACUGGUAAGUCAGUUGUGAAAGUUUGCGGCUCAACCGUAAAAUUGCAGUUGAUACUGUCAGUCUUGAGUACAGUAGAGGUGGGCGGAAUUCGUGGUGUAGCGGUGAAAUGCUUAGAUAUCACGAAGAACUCCGAUUGCGAAGGCAGCUCACUGGACUGCAACUGACACUGAUGCUCGAAAGUGUGGGUAUCAAACAGGAUUAGAUACCCUGGUAGUCCACACAGUAAACGAUGAAUACUCGCUGUUUGCGAUAUACAGUAAGCGGCCAAGCGAAAGCAUUAAGUAUUCCACCUGGGGAGUACGCCGGCAACGGUGAAACUCAAAGGAAUUGACGGGGGCCCGCACAAGCGGAGGAACAUGUGGUUUAAUUCGAUGAUACGCGAGGAACCUUACCCGGGCUUAAAUUGCAGUGGAAUGAUGUGGAAACAUGUCAGUGAGCAAUCACCGCUGUGAAGGUGCUGCAUGGUUGUCGUCAGCUCGUGCCGUGAGGUGUCGGCUUAAGUGCCAUAACGAGCGCAACCCUUAUCUUCAGUUACUAACAGGUUAUGCUGAGGACUCUGGAGAGACUGCCGUCGUAAGAUGUGAGGAAGGUGGGGAUGACGUCAAAUCAGCACGGCCCUUACGUCCGGGGCUACACACGUGUUACAAUGGGGGGUACAGAAGGCAGCUAGCGGGUGACCGUAUGCUAAUCCCAAAAUCCUCUCUCAGUUCGGAUCGAAGUCUGCAACCCGACUUCGUGAAGCUGGAUUCGCUAGUAAUCGCGCAUCAGCCACGGCGCGGUGAAUACGUUCCCGGGCCUUGUACACACCGCCCGUCAAGCCAUGGGAGCCGGGGGUACCUGAAGUACGUAACCGCAAGGAUCGUCCUAGGGUAAAACUGGUGACUGGGGCUAAGUCGUAACAAGGUAGCCGUACCGGAAGGUGCGGCUGGAACACC